rnacentral:rRNA from 1 species
GAGAUGUGGGUAGUCCGCACGAGCGCACCUCACUUUUAGUUGCCAUCAUUAAGUUGGGCACUCUGAAAGAACUGCCAGUGAUAAGCUGGAGGAAGGUGGGGAUGACGUCAAGUCCUCAUGGCCCUUACGUGUUGGGCUACACACGUGCUACAAUGGUAUCUACAACAGGAAGCAAAACGGCAACGUUAAGCAAAUCCCAAAAAGAUGCCUCAGUUCGGAUUGCACUCUGCAACUCGAGUGCAUGAAGCUGGAAUUACUAGUAAUCGUGGAUCAGCGUGCCACGGUGAAUGCGUUCCCGGGUCUUGUACACACCGCCCGUCACACCAUGGGAGUUGGUUCUACCUUAAGGCAAGGUUUAAAACCCUUGACCACGGUAUAGUCAGCGACUGGGGUGAAGUCGUAACAAGGUAGCCGUAGGGGAACCUGCGGCUGGAUUACCUCCUUUCU